CACUAUAUAGCUUAAUUAAAGCAUUAGCCUCUUAAGCUAUAAGAUACUAUUAAUAUGUUUUAGUGA
rnacentral:tRNA from 1 species